rnacentral:rRNA from 1 species
AUUGAACGCUGGCGGCAGGCCUAACACAUGCAAGUCGAACGAGUGGCGGACGGGUGAGUAAUGUCUGGGAAACUGCCUGAUGGAGGGGGAUAACUACUGGAAACGGUAGCUAAUACCGCAUACCAUCAGAUUUCCCCAGAUGGGAUUAGCUUGUUGGUGGGGUAACGGCUCACCAAGGCGCCGAUCCCUAGCUGGUCUGAGAGGAUGACCAGCAACACUGGAACUGGGACACGGUGCAGACUCCAACGGGAGGCAGCAGUGGGAAAGAUUGCACAAUGGGGGCAAGCCUGAUGCAGCCAUGCAGCGUGUAUAAAGAGGGCCUUCGGGUUGUAAAGUACUUUCAGCGAGGAGGCGUUACCCGCAGAAGAAGCACCGACUAACUCCGUGCCAGCAGCCGCGGUAAUAC